rnacentral:lncRNA from 1 species
GUCCCCCAAACCCCAACCCUCCCCCAGAUGGGAGCACAAGCAGGGUGGCCGAGGAGCACCCCCCAGCUUACCCACGGACCCUGGCUCAAGACUGGUGGCCAAGGUGCACCCUCGCUGUAGUGGGCAGCGGCCUCCAGUCCUGAUGCCACUGACUCUUGGGGGCAUGGCCAGUGCCCGAGGUGCUAGUCCUUGAUGAAAUGGAAUCUUGAUACUUUAAUACAGAGUGGAACAUAGUCACUAAAUAAAACCUGGAAAAAUGUAGAAGAGUAGCAGGAAGAGAACACACCCCAGCCCCACGGUCCACCCACCCGCAGUCCCUAUCGCCGCCUCCUGGCUCUGGUUUCCCGCUCGUGGGGCUGGGCAGCAUUGCUGCAACUCUUGAUUCGCUUUCCUGGGGCCACCAUAACCAAGCAGCACAACCCGGGAGAUGGCUCAGAGUCUGUCUGCGUCCUGGGAGCCUGAGAUCCAGGAGUGGGUGGGAUGGAGAAUGGUUCUCCCUGGGUCACUCUGGAGGACCUCUUAAGGUGGACCUCUUAAGGGAGCCCCGGCUCCCACCUUGCCAAAGAGCCAGGCCUCCAGUUGGUGCCCACAUGCAGCCCCCGCCGUGGGGUCACCCUGGUGUAAGGGUCUCUCCUCCCCUGCUGACCUUCUGCUGGGUCUUGGCAUCCCUGGGAUGAACCCUCCUGGCCUGGACCUUGCCGGCCCACAUCAACCCCCAGCCCUCUGCUCCUUGGCCUCACCCACAGCCUGCAGAAUGUAGGUGAGUUUCCUGGUGUUAACAUAAUAACAGCA